AGUGAACGCUGGCGGCAGGCCUAACACAUGCAAGUCGAACGGCAGCACAGCAGUAGCAAUACUGUGGGUGGCGAGUGGCGGACGGGUGAGGAAUACAUGGGAAUCUGCCCUGUCGUGGGGGAUAACGUAGGGAAACUUACGCUAAUACCGCAUACGACCGGAAGGUGAAAGCGGCGGACUCGCAAGAGCGUCGCGCGACUGGAUGAGCCCAUGUCGGAUAGCUAGUUGGCGGGGUAAAGGCCCACCAAGGCGACGAUCCGUAGCUGGUCUGAGAGGAUGAUCAGCCACACUGGAACUGAGACACGGUCCAGACUCCUACGGGAGGCAGCAGUGGGAAUAUUGGACAAUGGGCGCAAGCCUGAUCCAGCCAUGCCGCGUGAGUGAAGAAGGCC
rnacentral:rRNA from 1 species